GUAGGUGAACCUGCGGAAGGAUCAUUACCAUACAGGUCUUUGACCUUUCACCCCUUGUGCACUGUUUAACUGUCUUGCGAGAUGUUGGAAUUGUCCGAGUUUUUUUAACUAAAAGCCCUGGAUUUUUCCAUGUCUCGCGUUCAUUAUCAACAAUUUAUUAAAUUUCUGGUGUAUUACAAAAAACAAAAAGACAACUUUUAACGGCGGAUCUCUUGGCUCGU
rnacentral:misc_RNA from 1 species